UUAUCGGAUUGAAUGGGCUGCUUAGAGGUCCCUGGAAAUAGCUCCAUCAUGAGAUCGUACCCUAAACCGACACAGGUGGACAGGCAGAGCAUGCCAAGGCGCUUGAGAGAACGAUGCUGAAGGAACUCGGCAAAUUACCUCCGUAACUUCGGGAGAAGGAGGCCUCAAUCUGG
rnacentral:rRNA from 16 species